rnacentral:rRNA from 1 species
GAUGAACGCUGGCGGCGUGCCUAACACAUGCAAGUCGAGCGAGGGUUUGCUCAGUAUUGAGUAUUCUAAGACUAGAAUGUUCAAUUCUGAGCAAAACCAAGCGCGGACGGGUGAGUAACGCGUGGGUAACCUGCCCUAUACACAUGGAUAACAUACUGAAGUUUACUAAUACAUGAUAUAUAUAUUUGCGGCAUCGCAGAUAUAUCAAAGUGUUAGCGGUAUAGGAUGGACCCGCGUUGAUUAGUAGUGGUGAGAUAUGCCCCCAAGGCACGAUCAGUACCACCUGAGAGGGUGAUCGGCCACAUUGGACUGAGACACGGUCCAAACUCCUACGGGAGGCAGCAGUGGGGAAUAUUGCACAAUGGGCGAAAGCCUGAUGCAGCAACGCCGCGUGAACGAUGAAGGUCUUCGGAUCGUAAAGUUCUGUUGCAGGGGAAGAUAAUGACGGUACCCUGUGAGGAAGCC